UGCGUAGGCGGGGCAAUUAGUCAGUGGUGAAAUCCUGCGGCUUAACCGUAGAAUUGCCAUUGAUACUGUUGCCCUUGAGUAUAGUUGAAGUGGGCGGAAUAUGUAAUGUAGCGGUGAAAUGCAUAGAGAUUACAUAGAACACCAAUUGCGAAGGCAGCUCACUAAGCUAUUACUGACGCUGAGGCACGAAAGCGUGGGGAGCGAACAGGAUUAGAUACCCUGGUAGUCC
rnacentral:rRNA from 1 species